rnacentral:lncRNA from 12 species
CCGCACGCUGUUUGAAACGGGGCCAGCGUGUCUUGUGAAGCAGAAGGGAGCUCCGUGAAAGUGGGUCACCUUCCGGAUCAAUCCUGACCCUGCUGCCGCCGUUUCUCCUGAGAGAUCUCCAUUAUCUGCACACACACAGAAGUCAAUUGUUAGAGAGCAUCAGUCAGCAGGACCCCUGACCUUUAACCUGACACCUCAUCAUCUGCUCUGUCAUGUGUGCAAACAUCUGAUCCCAGAACAGCCCGAGAAAGAGAGAGAGAGCUGAGAACACAAACGUAAAAGGAAACAGGCGCUGAAGAGUCUUUUUCUAUCUUUCUACUCACUUUCGUCUCUCAGAAGAGGAGAAACUGAACGAGAAACUGAGAGCUGAAACAUGACAGAACGACACGGGAGAAACAACCGGCUUUGACAAAGAUCACAGCUGUACAGAGACGCCCAUGUGAGCAGCAGCAGCAGCAGCAGGAGAAUCUCUUCGUCUGUGUUCCAGCGUUCGGCCGCGGCUCCGGCGACGGGGAUGUGAGAAGAUGUCGGUGGGAGGCUGCGCGUGUCCCGAUCUGGAACAAAAUGUCUUCUUCUGCAGCAUCAGAGCAAUGUGAGGUUACCCAUCAGCCACCAGACACACACACCGACACCGUGAUCCUUCACCGAGCGGUAGAUUAUCAUCAGCGCUGCCGUGUUACGUGACUCAUCAAACCACUUGGUUUUCUUGACAAGUCCCUAAAACACAGUUCAGCAUGAAGACGCUUGUGUUCAUAUUAAUAAACCAUCUAUUUGACAUUUUAUUAUGACACAAUUCACCAAGAUUUAUUUGUUUUAUCAGUUUAUAACAUUUAGGGAAUAUUUUGCAUGGUCAGUUUUAUAUAGGAGGCAGCAAGUGGAUUUGGGAUUAAUUUUGUGAAUUUAAUGCAUCUUUAAAUGAGAUAAAAAAAAAUUAUUAGUUUAGUUUUUAUUUUUGAGUUCCAGAUUUAUUUUAUUGUCA